AAAAUGUAGCUAUCGGUAGGGCCAGGGAGAUGAGUGAUAAUGACAUCAAUCGGGUGAACAUCCUUUAUAACUGCAGUACACCUGGAUACAGACGUGACCUGGAGCCGGUGCAAAGAAAUCAUGUCCUCUAAAUCAAACAGGAAUCAAGAGGAAUGAAGCAAAUUGAUGCAACUCUUCAUCCACAAGCGAAACCAUUAAUGCUUCUUGUGCUUAAUGAAUGAGAUAUAACCUACAACAUAAUCAAAUGAACUUUUGUGCUGUCUUAGUGAGAAUUAAAAAAUGUCCAAUCACAUCAUCACAAAAAUGUCUGCUUGCAUGCAUGACUGUUAAUGAGCUGGACAGAAUAUUACUGAUGAAUAAAAACAUGAAUUCACA